ensembl:snoRNA
CUCCAAUGAUGAUUCAGCCAUGCUAAUACUGAUGCAUUCGGCAGUCUGCCGGGAUGCAAGUGAGUUUAACUGACCUUCUCACGCUGAUGGUAUCAGUGUGUGCUGAGGAGA